rnacentral:rRNA from 1 species
GUCCACGCUGUAAACGAUGGAUGCUAGCCGUCAGCAAGCAUGCUUGUUGGUGGCGCAGCUAACGCAUUAAGCAUCCCGCCUGGGGAGUACGGCCGCAAGGUUAAAACUCAAAGGAAUUGACGGGGGCCCGCACAAGCGGUGGAGCAUGUGGUUUAAUUCGACGCAACGCGAAGAACCUUACCAGCCCUUGACAUGUCCGGACGGUUUCCAGAGAUGGAUUCCUCCUAGCAAUAGGUCGGAACACAGGUGCUGCAUGGCUGUCGU